rnacentral:tRNA from 1 species
UAGCUCAGUUGGUAAAGAAUCUGCCUGCAGUGCAGGAGUCCCAGGUUCAAUUCCUGG